UACGUAGGGUGCAAGCGUUAAUCGGAAUUACUGGGCGUAAAGCGUGCGCAGGCGGUUUUGUAAGUCUGUCGUGAAAUCCCCGGGCUUAACCUGGGAAUGGCGAUGGAGACUGCAAGGCUAGAGUUUGGCAGAGGGGGGUAGAAUUCCACGUGUAGCAGUGAAAUGCGUAGAGAUGUGGAGGAACACCGGUGGCGAAGGCGGCAUCCUGGACCAACACUGACGCUGAGGAGCGAAAGCCAGGGGAGCAAACGGG
rnacentral:rRNA from 1 species